ACCUUCGUGGUGUAAUGGUCAGCACACUGAGCUGGUAUUUCAGAGGUCCGUGGUUCGAUCCCCGGCGAAGGCA
rnacentral:tRNA from 1 species